rnacentral:rRNA from 1 species
CCUACGGGAGGCAGCAGUGAGGAAUAUUGGUCAAUGGCCGCAGGGCGGAACCAGCCAAGUCGCGUGAGGGAUGACGGUCCUAUGGAUUGUAAACCUCUUUUGGCAGGGGGCAAAGGGCGCCAAGUGUGACGCUUAGCGAGUACCUGAAGAAAAAGCAUCGGCUAACUCCGUGCCAGCAGCCGCGGUAAUACGGAGGAUGCGAGCGUUAUCCGGAUUUCUUGGGGUUAAAGGGUGCGCAGGCGGAAGGUAAAGGCAGCGGUAAAAUUUCGGGGCUAAACCCCGUCGUGCCGUUGAAAUUGGCGUUCUUGAGUGAGCGAGAAGUAUGCGGAAUGCGUGGUGUAGCGGUGAAAUGCUUAGAUAUCAGGAGGAACAUCGGUGGCGUAAGCGCUUUACUGGGCCGUAAUUGACGCUGAGGAACGAAAGCCAGGGUAGCAAAUGGGAUUAGAUACCCGUGUAGUC